rnacentral:rRNA from 25 species
GUGGACGCAUCACUGGUGUUCGGGUUGUCAUGCCAAUGGCACUGCCCGGUAGCUAAAUGCGGAAGAGAUAAGUGCUGAAAGCAUCUAAGCACGAAACUUGCCCCGAGAUGAGUUCUCCCUGAGACUUAGAGUCUCCUGAAGGAACGUUGAAGACGACGACGUUGAUAGGCCGGGUGUGUAAGCGCAGCGAUGCGUUGAGCUAACCGGUACUAAUGAACCGUGAGGCUUAACCUUACAACGCCGAAG